GAUGAACGCUAGCGACAGGCUUAACACAUGCAAGUCGAGGGGCAGCAUGGGCGUGGCAACACGCCUGAUGGCGACCGGCGCACUGGUGAGUAACACGUAUGCGACCUGCCUCCUUCAGGGGGAUAACCCAGAGAAAUUUGGCCUAAUACCCCAUAGUCCGCGCGGCUGCAUGGCCGUGCGGGGAAAGCUGCGGCGGAAGGAGAUGGGCAUGCGGCGCAUUAGCUGGUUGGCGGGGCAACGGCCCACCAAGGCUACGAUGCGUAGGGGUUCUGAGAGGAAGGUCCCCCACACUGGUACUGAGACACGGACCAGACUCC
rnacentral:rRNA from 1 species